rnacentral:rRNA from 1 species
AUGCACGCUGGCGGCGUGCCUCAUACCUGCCAGUCGAGCGAACGGACGAGAAGCUUGCUUCUCUGAUGUUAGCGGCGGACGGGUGAGUAACACGUGGAUAACCUACCUAUAAGCCUGGGAUAACUUCGGGAAACCGGAGCUAAUACCGGAUGAUAUUUUGAACCGCAUGGUUCAAAAGUGAAAGACGGUCUUGCUGUCACUUAUAGAUGGAUCCGCGCUGCAUUAGCUAGUUGGUAAGGUAACGGCUUACCAAGGCAACGAUGCAUAGCCGACCUGAGAGGGUGAUCGGCCACACUGGAACUGAGACACGGUCCAGACUCCUACGGGAGGCAGCAGUAGGGAAUCUUCCGCAAUGGGCGAAAGCCUGACGGAGCAACGCCGCGUGAGUGAUGAAGGUCUUCGGAUCGUAAAACUCUGUUAUUAGGGAAGAACAUAUGUGUAAGUAACUGUGCACAUCUUGACGGUACCUAAUCAGAAAGCCACGGCUAACUACGUG